CUUAUUUAACUAUAUAUUAAUUGUAUUCUAUAUGUAACACUUUGUUUUUCAAUUUCUUCGUCGCUGUCUUUACUCUCGAUUAUUUUGUUUUUACCAGACGCUUCAGAGAAAACCCUAUUAAAAAAACUCUGUUCGUUUCGUUUUGUUCUUUUAAGAAACCGAUGUUUCUUUUCACAUAUCCUAUGGUGAACUGUAUCCCUAUAGGAUCCCAUCAUAUAAUGGUGGCAUAUAAUAAUUUAUAUACAAGUUCAGGUUUUAUGUCUCAACAUUCAUUGUUGAACGUAACGGUAAUAAGUUGCUGACACUUAUGUAUACCCUGUUUUUACGACAAGUUUUCGUCGGGUGGCACGCAAUCCCACCAGGUAGCACUAGAGACAUGUUAAUGAAUUAUUUUUCUAUGAGGUCUAUGGUUGUGAUCGGUGUUA